UUGACCUCAAAUCAGGUAGGACUACCCGCUGAACUUAAGCAUAUCAAUAAGCGGAGGAAAAGAAACUAACAAGGAUUCCCCUAGUAACUGCGAGUGAAGCGGGAAAAGCUCAAAUUUAAAAUCUGGCGGUCGCUCUGGCCGUCCGAGUUGUAAUCUGGAGAAGUGUUUUCCGCGUCGGACCGUGUACAAGUCUUCUGGAACGGAGCGUCAUAGAGGG
rnacentral:rRNA from 1 species